UACGAAGGGUGCUAGCGUUGUUCGGAAUCACUGGGCGUAAAGCGCGCGUAGGCGGCUUUUCAAGUCAGGGGUGAAAUCCUGGGGCUUAACCCCAGAAUUGCCUUUGAAACUGGAAAGCUGGAGUACUGGAGGGGAUAGCGGAAUUCCUAAUGUAGAGGUGAAAUUCGUAGAUAUUAGGAGGAACACCGGUGGCGAAGGCGGCUAUCUGGACAGUAACUGACGCUCUGGCGCGAAAGCGUGGGUAUCAAACAGG
rnacentral:rRNA from 1 species